rnacentral:rRNA from 1 species
UACGUAGGGGGCAAGCGUUGUCCGGAAUCAUUGGGCGUAAAGAGCGUGUAGGCGGUCCGGUAAGUCGGCUGUGAAAGUCCAGGGCUCAACCCUGGGAUGCCGGUCGAUACUGUCGGACUAGAGUUCGGAAGAGGCGAGUGGAAUUCCAGGUGUAGCGGUGAAAUGCGUAGAUAUCUGGAGGAAUACCGGUGGCGAAGGCGGCAUCCUGGACCGAUAUUGACGCUGAGGCGCGAAAGCCAGGGGAGCAAACGGG